rnacentral:rRNA from 1 species
GAAAAGAAACCAACAGGGAUUGCCUCAGUAGCGGCGAGUGAAGCGGCAAAAGCUCAAAUUUGAAAUCUGGCGUCUUUGGCGUCCGAGUUGUAAUUUGAAGAAGGUAUCUUUGGGCCCGGCUCUUGUCUAUGUUCCUUGGAACAGGACGUCACAGAGGGUGAGAAUCCCGUGCGAUGAGAUGACCCGGGUCUGUGUAAAGUUCCUUCGACGAGUCGAGUUGUUUGGGAAUGCAGCUCUAAGUGGGUGGUAAAUUCCAUCUAAAGCUAAAUAUUGGCGAGAGACCGAUAGCGAACAAGUACAGUGAUGGAAAGAUGAAAAGAACUUUGAAAAGAGAGUGAAAAAGUACGUGAAAUUGUUGAAAGGGAAGGGCUUGAGAUCAGACUUGGUAUUUUGCAUGUUGCUCUCUCGGGGGCGGCCGCUGCGCUUUACCGGGCCAGCAUCGGUUUGGAGCGGCAGGAUAAUGGCGGAGGAAUGUGGCACGGCUUCUGCUGUGUGUUAUAGCCUCUGACGAUAUUGCAAUUCUACACUUAGCACUGCGGUUUUUACCUAGGAUGUUGGCAUA